rnacentral:rRNA from 1 species
AGAGUUUGAUCAUGGCUCAGGAUGAACGCUGGCGGCGUGCCUAAUACAUGCAAGUCGAACGAGGGUAGCAAUACCCUAGUGGCGAACGGGUGAGUAACACGUAGAUAACCUACCGUAAAGACGAGGAUAACACCGGGAAACUGGUGCUAAGACUGGAUAGGACAUUUGGGGGCAUCCCUAGAUGUUUAAAGGACCUGCAAAGGUACACUUUAUGAGGGGUCUGCGGCGCAUUAGCUAGAUGGCGGGGUAACGGCCCACCCAUGGCAAUGAUGCGUAGCCGGACUGAGAGGUCAAACGGCCACAUUGGGACUGAGAACGGCCCAAACUCCUACGGGAGGCAGCAGUAGGGAAUUUUCGGCAAUGGGGGAAACCCUGACCGAAGCAACGCCGCGUGAAUGACGUAAGUUUUUCGGAAUGUAAAGUUCUUUUAUUAGGGAAGAAUGGCCUAUAGGAAAAAUAGGAAUGACGGUACCUAAUGAAUAACGCCCCGGCUAACUAUGUGCCAGCCGCCGC